UUUUUAAGCAAACUGUAUUGGAAAAAAUCGAGUUUACAUAUUGAAAAUAACGUGUCGUGACACAUGGAUCAGUCAAAUAGUCAAAAAAUUAAAGUUAGCUAAGAGACACGAGCAAUAAUAUAUGCGAGCAAAGGUAGUGGAAGAGGCACGUGCAAUUACCCAGGAGAUACAGGAUAUUUAGCUUAAGGCAGUCGGAGACCCGCGACGCGGGAUUUCACUCUAGGCUCGGCACUAUGGGAGAUAGGUAAGGGUUCUCUCGAGAAUUCGGUCACAAGACCUCUCUUUUCUCCAAGUGGGGCGUGGCAGGGGAAUGAAGGCUAUCCAGUUUUUCAUGUAAGGGUUCUCUCAAGAAUUCGGUCACAAGACCUCUCUUUUCUCCAAGUGGGGCGUGGCAGGGGAAUGAAGGCUAUCUAGUUUUUCAUUUCACUACAGUAGAUCUUGCUCUUGGCGCUCUUUCCCAGGUUCCAAAGAAAUAAAUUCUCAUAAGCGGGAAUUACCAAAUCGUGAAACGAACGGUAACAACUUAUCGCAUCUGUCCUCCAGCUCCGGCGAGACAUAAGAAGUAGAAGUAGAGGUAGAUCAGUCUAUAGAUCGAUACGAAACCGUAGACCUAGAGGGGUACCUUUCUCAUUUAAUGAACAAUCCAUCCUUUGUGCUGUUGGAAUUCAGCAAAGGGUACCGUUUUGGGACUUUAGUUAGGGCUCAUUGGCUCUGUCGGCUUAUCAAUCUCAUCUCUUUCUUUA
rnacentral:lncRNA from 1 species